rnacentral:rRNA from 1 species
UGGGGAAUAUUGGACAAUGGGCGAAAGCCUGAUCCAGCAAUGCCGCGUGUGUGAAGAAGGUCUUCGGAUUGUAAAGCACUUUCGACGGGGACGAUGAUGACGGUACCCGUAGAAGAAGCCCCGGCUAACUUCGUGCCAGCAGCCGCGGUAAUACGAAGGGGGCUAGCGUUGCUCGGAUUGACUGGGCGUAAAGGGCGCGUAGGCGGUUUGUACAGUCAGACGUGAAAUUCCUGGGCUCAACCUGGGGGCUGCGUUUGAUACGUGCGAGCUUGAGUUCGGAAGAGGGUCGUGGAAUUCCCAGUGUAGAGGUGAAAUUCGUAGAUAUUGGGAAGAACACCGGUGGCGAAGGCGGCGACCUGGUCCGAUACUGACGCUGAGGCGCGAAAGCGUGGGGAGCAAACAGGAUUAGAUACCCUGGUAGUCCACGCCGUAAACGAUGUGUGCUGGAUGUUGGGUGACAUAGUCACUCAGUGUCGUAGCUAACGCGAUAAGCACACCGCCUGGGGAGUACGGCCGCAAGGUUG